GCUGAGUUGGGUAACCCCAACUUGUAACCCAACUGGGGGCAUCAAUCAAGGUGGAAUUGUCAGGUUGGGUUGGUGGCUGCACCAUGCUUG
rnacentral:SRP_RNA from 1 species